GCCUGGCUGCAAGCAAUCCAGGCACAACCUCACGUGGUACUCCACCAUGAAAUGGGGUUUCGGAGCACGGCGGCGGCGCCGCCUCUUUCCCCACCGCCUCCACCAUGAAAUGGGGUUUCGGAGCACGGCGGCGGCGCCGCCUCUUUCCCCACCGCCUCCACCAUGAAAUGGGGUUUCGGAGCACGGCGGCGGCGCCGCCUCUUUCCCCACCGCCGCCGUCGCCUGCAUGGUGGCCGACAAGCACGCCCCAAAUCUCGUUUCAUGGUGGAAUAUCUCGUGAUCUCGUGCUUUUUUUUCCCAGCCAAUGGCGUCGAAAAUCCAUAAACCCGUCGCCAAAUCGAAGGAGGCAAGACUGGGUUCUGGGAUUUCUUAGAUAUCUCACGGUCUGGACGGCCUGUAUUCUUGGAAUUCUAUGUGGAUCGGCUUCUGAACUCGACGAGAUCUGAGUCUCCUUCCCUGAAAUCCUUGCAUUCUCGAUCUCAGGUGCCUUCCAGCAUACCUAUUCCAUGACCUCUUUGCAGGUAUGUUCUUUUAGCUUGUGAAUUAAAGGACAGGUCUUGAGUUAACUUCUGUACAACUUGAGAUAUAUGGGCAUAUAUCUUUUAUGAUGAUUAGCAUCAAAGGAGCAUGUAUUAAAUACGGAUUUAAAACUUAUCUAAAAUUAUGUGGCAUCCUUAAAAAUAUACAAUAUGUGUGUCGAUUGCUGUUAAACAAGGUUUUAGAGAUACUGAAUGCACAUACAACAUGAUGAACAUGAUCAACAUCAUCAAGCGUUAUAUAGAUGGAAGAGGUUUGGAGAACUUCUAGAAAAAAGAAGUGUUCAACUUUGGGUACGUUCAGCCUAGUUUAUGCAUCAUGCUGCCAUGUUCCAUAUUAGCAUGUGUUGUAGUUUAUCAAACACAAUAUGUCAGUGGAUUCUUGACAGUGAGUGCUUUACAUGUGGGAAGAUUCCUCCCUACAACAUCUUCAGCAAACUCUGCAAUAUCUGGUUGAACGAUUCACAGUCCUUCAAUGCAUGCCAUGCAUAAUCUCAUCAAACGUUAUUCGGCUUUAGCACGCAUGUAGCGUUAGAAUAUAGCUUUCCAUCGAAAUUGUGUCAAGUUGAAUGGAUUCCCUUUCUUUCAGUUUUAGAACAGAUUGAAAAGGGAUGGUUUCUCCAAAAAGUAUCAGAAUCCAGAUGUUCUGUUUUUCCUUUUUCUGAACUGGUAGAUCUGUAAUCACUGAUACUGAACUUUGUUAUAAUCUAUUAUUGUAUAUAGCAACUGCAAGACACAAUUUGAAUUAAAUAUCAGUUUCUCCAUUCAUGUGCAACAUGAUGCAGAGAAGAUGUGCUAUUGAAGCAUGAAUUCGGAGCCAAUUUAAGCCCACUUCCUCUCUCAGUAGAACUUAUACAAUCUACUCAUUCACUGGUCCAUGCUGUCAGGAAUUGGAUCAAAGCCAUUAGUUCUCAAGGAAGUUACAUUUCCACAUCUCACACCCAGUUUGACAGAGAACUAGACCCGCUGAAUAUUUGGUGCUUUAUUUGCUCCAGAAGUGUUGGAAGUUGUUUGAAUGAUUUGUGCAGGCUGCUGCUUACUUGCUGCCUUCUUUUGCCAAAUGAUUUGUGUUAGCAAACUUUUGUGGGAAUUUUGUUCCUUGAUUUCUUGGGAACCUGUUAGGACCCAGACCUGUUGAUUCGAAGCUGAAAUGGCUCAUCUUAUGAUAGGUUUCAGGUCUCAGGGAAUUUUGUGGAGGAAAAACUACUACCUGCUUGUAAAAGAUGCAAUUUUUACCAAGGAUCAGGAUUCACCAGGCUCAUUGAUGCCCUGAUGUUGAAAUGCUUCAGAAGUAUUGGAGAUUGGAGAAUUGAUGAGUCAUAUUGUGAAUUUGUUUCUCAGACUGUUAGUUGCCAUAUGCGUGAAAGCAGUUUUAUGCUACUGUAGAUUUUGUGCUAUUGUACAAUUUUUCUCUGGCAUUAUUGCUUCAAUAAGAAUUCUCAGUUGCUUCUGCGAUGGGUGCGCUGAACUUUUGUCGAGUCAUAUACCAUUGAGAAUUAGGCAUCUGUGUUUUGUAAUAUUGUUAUUGAUUUAAAAAUCAAAUAUUUUGUCUUUUACCUUA